UACUAAUGUAAUAUGAAUGUGGUACCGGUAAAGCCGCAAGCCUCGGCCAACAGGAAGGUGCUCCAGGACAUGAGGAAAAACAGUGCCGUCUCCAGCAAGGGUAAGUCCCUCAGCUUGGUAAACUUGGAUAUGAACGCCGUCACCACACCGGUGGCCACGCCGAGAGCAAACGAUCCGCUGAAGACGCCCAGGAAGAUGCCAAAGGAUUUGAGCAUGGCCAUGGCCUCAAAGCUGUGACUGUUGUCCCCCGUAGGCUGGUAGGCCACAAUGGAGCUGACAGCAUAAACGUACACACCCUUAGAAAGAAUUAAGGAAGGCAGGAACCACGAGAGGAUGUGGAGAUGGACCGACAUCAAAUCAACCUGAAUCCGUGAAUAUCUGAUAACCGGUGAUUUAAACAGAUUUGAGUCAUUUUAAAGCAUGCAUGGGGUUUACAUUUGAUGACGGCAGCAUGGUAAACCAAGGAGCCCUGUUUUGUGAAAAAAGAAAUCCCAAACCACUUGCAUGAAGUGGAGUUUGGACCCAACAGUGAUCCAAAAGGAAGAGCGGAUUGUUUUGAAUUUGAGAUAUUUCCUCAAAGAGUGGGAACCAACUACCAUGCACGGAUCAACCAUGCUAUUCUAAAAACAAAUGAAAUUUUAGGGAACCGUCAUCCAAAGUCUGAAAACAUUUAAAACACAAAUGGUCAUAACAUGUUAUAAUAAAUAUGUGAUUGAUUGUUGCAUAUACAGAUUUUUUUUUUCAAAUUGAAUACGGCUCUCCGUGUCCUCACCACAAUUAAGUAAGUAAGUAAGUAAGUAGGUAUACAGUAUUCUAAUAUUCUGAAUUCUACCACAUAAUUUGAUUCGUGUUUCCACAUUUAUUAUGUCUUUCGGAAUUUUUUUUUAACCAAAGCCAAAACAAUCAAAAAGAAUAUUAAGCAAACAUUUGUGAUGCUUUUAGGAAAAAACGUUUGUUUGUUUUUUGUUUUACCCAAAGCAAAAACAAACUAAAAAAAUUAUUCACCAAACAUUUGAAUAGAUGUGACUUCGGCUAUUUCCAAAGGUUUUAAAGAAGGCUUCAAGCCAAACUACCACGAGCCGGCCUGUCCUGUUCGAGAGUACCGUCAAGUCUCCCAAUGACCAGUCUGACAGCAAAGGCUACUAAAGUUUCACAUCCAGUACCCCUCAGCACAAACCAAACGGACAACUCCCCGUAACAAGCAAGAAACUUCCUGUUCAUUGUCCACCUCCAGUCUUCACUACUUCUUUUUAUUCCGGAGCUUAGUUUUUUGUUGUUAUUUUUUCUUUCUAAUCAUCUUAUUGGGUUAGGGUUUCACCAUGAUGUAUUGGAAGUGC